AGAAGUACCGUGAGGGAAAGGUGAAAAGAACCCCGGGAGGGGAGUGAAAUAGAACCUGAAACCGUGUGCUUACAAACAGUCAGAGGACGUUAAUGUCUGAUGGCGUGCUUUUUGUAGAACGAGCCAGCGAGUUACGAUGUGCAGCAAGGUUAAGUACUUAAGGUACGGAGCCGAAGGGAAACCGAGUCUGAAUAGGGCAAAUAGUUGCAUGUCGUAGACCCGAAACCGGGUGACCUAUCCAUGGACAGGUUGAAGCGGAAGUAAAAUUCCGUGGAGGACCGAACCACAUUGGUGUUGAAAAACCAUGGGAUGAGCUGUGGAUAGCGGAGAAAUUCCAAUCGAACUCGGAGAUAGCUGGUUCUCCUCGAAAUAUCUUUAGGGAUAGCGUCGGGAAAUUAAGUAGUGGAGGUAGAGCACUGAAUGGGCUAGGGGCCUUUUAGGUUACUGAACCCUAUCAAACUCCGAAUGCCAUAUACUUGUAUCCCGGCAGUCAGACUGCGAGUGAUAAGAUCCGUAGUCAAAAGGGAAACAGCCCAGAUCAUCAGCUAAGGUCCCAAAGUGUAAGUUAAGUGGAAAAGGAUGUGGGAUUUCUAAGACAACUAGGAUGUUGGCUUAGAAGCAGCCACUCAUUUAAAGAGUGCGUAAUAGCUCACUAGUCGAGAGAUCCUGCGCCGAAGAUGUCCGGGGCUAAAACUUACCACCGAAGCUAUGAAUGUGCCGUACGGCACGUGGUAGAGGAGCUUUCUGCAUUGGCUGAAGUCAUACCGUGAGGAGUGGUGGACGAUGCAGAAGUGAGUAUGCUGGCAUAAGUAGCGAGAAAUGAGUGAGAAUCUCAUUGGUCGAAAACCUAAGGUUUCCUGAGGAAGGCUCGUCCGCUCAGGGUUAGUCGGGACCUAAGCCGAGGCCGAAAGGCGUAGGUGAUGGACAAUCGGUUUAUAUUCCGAUACCAGAAGUGGCGUUAUUAGAGAAGGAGUGACGCAGAAGGAUAAGGUGUGCACACUG
rnacentral:ncRNA from 1 species